rnacentral:rRNA from 1 species
AACGAACGCUGGCGGCAGGCUUAACACAUGCAAGUCGAGCGCCCCGCAAGGGGAGCGGCAGACGGGUGAGUAACGCGUGGGAAUCUACCCAUCUCUACGGAAUAACGCAUGGAAACGUGUGCUAAUACCGUAUACGGCCUUCGGGAGAAAGAUUUAUCGGAGAUGGAUGAGCCCGCGUUGGAUUAGCUAGUUGGUGGGGGAAAGGCCUACCAAGGCGACGAUCCAUAGCUGGUCUGAGAGGGUGAUCAGCCACACUGGGACUGAGACACGGCCCGAACUCCUACGGGAGGCAGCAGUGGUGAAUAUUGGACAAAGGUCGAAAGCCUGAUCCAGCCAUGCCGCGUGAGUUAUAAAGGCCCUAGGGUUGUAAAGCUCUUUCACCGGUGAAGAUAAUGACGGUAACCGGAGAAGAAGCCCCGGCUAACUUCGUGCCAGCCGCCGCGGUAAUAC